rnacentral:rRNA from 1 species
CACGUAGGAGACGAGCGUUAUCCGGAUUUACUGGGUGUAAAGCGCGUGCAGGCGGUCCGAUAAGUUGGAUGUGAAAGCUCCUGGCUUAACUGGGAGAGGUCGUUCAAUACUGUUGGACUAGAGGAUGUCAGAGGGGAGUGGAAUUCCGAGUGUAGCGGUAAAAUGCAUAGAUAUUCGGAAGAACACCAGUGGCGAAGGCGGCUCUCUGGGGCAUAUCUGACGCUCAGACGCGAAAGCUAGGGUAGCAAACGGG